UACAGAGGUCUCAAGCGUUGUUCGGAUUCAUUGGGCGUAAAGGGUGCGCAGGCGGCGUGGUAAGUUGCGUGUGAAAUCCCGGGGCUCAACCCCGGAACUGCACUCAAUACUGCCAUGCUCGAGGAAUGUAGAGGAGAGUGGAAUUCACGGUGUAGCAGUGAAAUGCGUAGAUAUCGUGAGGAAGACCAGUUGCGAAGGCGACUCUCUGGGCAUUUCCUGACGCUCAGGCACGAAGGCCAGGGGAGCAAACGGG
rnacentral:rRNA from 1 species